GGCCCUAUCGUCUAGAGGUCCAGGACGCCACCCUCUCAAGGUGGUAACACGGGUUCAAAUCCCGUUAGGGCUGCCA
rnacentral:tRNA from 3 species